GCAUUGAUAGCUCAGUGGUAGAGCGGUGGGGCGUUUACCCAUGCGGCCCGGGUUCGAUUCCCGGUCGAUGUA